UAAAACGUGUGUAGGAGUUCGGAGAGGAGAUACAUCCUACGACUUCGCCCUGCCCGACGCUGUGGCCGUGAAAGUGCAAGACCUCAGCUGUGAUGCAGAGUGGAGCAUUGAUCAAUUCACAGCUAUCCUGGAAGGAAAUGUAGCACACUUUAAACAUCCCUUCAAAAAAGUAAACCGUACUGGAAUCAGUGUGGCUUACUGUCCAUUUUCAGUCAAAUUCCAUGUCUCUUGUCAUGAUUAUGCCAAACACCUCACAUGUUCUUGCACCAAUUCCACCAGCAUCUAUCCAGUGUUUAGCACAACUCGGCCAUAUGGAGAUUUAUCCUCCACUGCAGUCGAAACUCAUUCCUCAGUGAGACAACACUAUGGUGCUAUUGCUGCUGCUGUCGGUUUGGUCAUUAUCCUUGUCAUUUUGGCUUUCCUCGCUGCAAGCACAGCACAAAAUGCUCCUGAGAAACAAAACCAGCGUUUUUCAGUAGACUGAGCCUGGGGAGGCAACUGUUAUUGCCCUAGAAACAACAACACAUGGCGUGGAGUCAUAAUAACACAUUAUCUUAUAAUGUUGCACAUAUUAUAUUAUAUUAUAUU